GGAUUAGAUACCCUGGUAGUCCACGCCGUAAACGAUGAUAACUAGUUGUUCGGUCACUUGGUGACUGAGUGACGCAGCUAACGCAUUAAGUUAUCCGCCUGGGGAGUACGGUCGCAAGAUUAAAACUCAAAGGAAUUGACGGGGGCCUGCACAAGCGGUGGAGCAUGUGGUUUAAUUCGAAGCAACGCGCAGAACCUUACCAGCGUUUGACAUCCCGCGCUACCCAGAGAGAUUUGGGGUUCCCUUCGGGGACGCGGUGACAGGUGCUGCAUGGCUGUCGUCAGCUCGUGCCG
rnacentral:rRNA from 1 species